rnacentral:rRNA from 1 species
GGGCCCGCACAAGCGGUGGAGCAUGUGGUUUAAUUCGAUGAUACGCGAGGAACCUUACCAGGGCUUAAAUGUAAGUUGCAUUAGUUAGAGAUAGCUAUUUCUUCGGACCACUUACAAGGUGCUGCAUGGUUGUCGUCAGCUCGUGCCGUGAGGUGUCAGGUUAAGUCCUAUAACGAGCGCAACCCCUGUUGUUAGUUGCCAGCGAGUCAUGUCGGGAACUCUAACAAGACUGCCGGUGCAAACCGUGAGGAAGGUGGGGAUGACGUCAAAUCAUCACGGCCCUUACGUCCUGGGCUACACACGUGCUACAAUGGUCGGUACAGAGAGCAGCCACUACGCGAGUAGGAGCGAAUCUUCAAAAAGCCUGUCCCAGUUCGGAUUGGAGUCUGGAACUCGACUCCAUG